AUGACAAAUAUGGUUCGAUGGCUCUUCUCUACUAACCACAAGGAUAUUGGGACUCUCUAUUUCAUCUUCGGUGCCAUUGCAGGAGUGAUGGGCACAUGCUUCUCCGUACUGAUUCAUAUGGAAUUAGCCCGACCCGGCGAUCAAAUUCUUGGUGGGAAUCAUCAACUUUAUAAGGUUUUAUUAACGGCUCAUGCUUUUUUAAUGAUCUUUUUUAUGGUUAUGCCGGCGAUGAUAGGUGGAUUUGGUAAUUGGUUUGUUCCGAUUCUGAUAGGUGCACCUGACAUGGCAUUUCCACGAUUAAAUAAUAUAUCAUUCUGGUUGUUGCCACCAAGUCUCUUGCUCCUAUUAAGCUCAGCCUUAGUAGAAGUGGGCAGCGGCACUGGGUGGACAGUCUAUCCGCCCUUAAGUGGUAUUACCAGCCAUUCUGGAGGAGCAGUUGAUUCAGCAAUUUUUAGUCUUCAUCUAUCAGGUAUUUCAUCAAUUUUAGGUUCUAUCAAUUUUAUAACAACUAUCUUCAACAUGCGUGGACCUGGAAUGACUAUGCAUAGAUUACCACUUUUUGUGUGGUCCGUUCUAGUGACAGCAUUCCUACUUUUAUUAUCACUUCCGGUACUGGCGGGGGCAAUUACAAUGUUAUUAACCGAUCGAAACUUUAAUACAACCUUUUUUGAUCCUGCAGGAGGGGGAGACCCAAUAUUAUACCAGCAUCUCUUUUGGUUCUUCGGUCAUCCAGAGGUGUAUAUUCUCAUUCUGCCUGGAUUUGGUAUUAUUAGUCAUAUCGUAUCGACCUUUUCAAGAAAACCGGUCUUCGGGUAUCUAGGCAUGGUUUAUGCCAUGAUAAGUAUAGGUGUUCUUGGAUUUCUAGUUUGGGCUCAUCAUAUGUUUACUGUGGGCUUAGACGUUGAUACGCGUGCCUACUUCACCGCAGCUACCAUGAUCAUAGUUGUGCCCACAGGAAUCAAAAUCUUUAGUUGGAUCGCUACCAUGUGGGGAGGUUCGAUACAAUACAAAACACCCAUGUUAUUUGCUGUAGGGUUCAUCUUUUUGUUCACCAUAGGAGGGCUCACUGGAAUAGUUCUAGCAAACUCUGGGCUAGACAUUGCUCGACAUGAUACUUAUUAUGUGGUUGCACAUUUCCAUUAUGUACUUUCUAUGGGAGCCGUUUUUGCUUUAUUUGCUGGAUUUUACUAUUGGGUGGGUAAAAUCUUUGGUCGGACAUAUCCUGAAACUUUAGGCCAAAUCCAUUUUUGGAUCACUUUUUUCGGGGUUAAUCUGACCUUCUUUCCCAUGCAUUUCUUAGGGCUUUCGGGUAUGCCACGUCGCAUUCCAGAUUAUCCAGAUGCUUACGCCGGAUGGAAUGCUCUGAGCAGUUUCGGUUCUUAUAUAUCCGUAGUUGGGAUUCGUCGUUUCUUCGUAGUUGUCGCAAUCACUUCAAGCAGUGGAAAGAACCAAAAAUGUGCGGAAAGUCCUUGGGCUGUUGAACAGAAUCCAACCACACUAGAAUGGUUGGUACAAAGCCCUCCGGCCUUUCAUACUUUUGGAGAACUUCCUGCGGUAAAAGAGACAAAAAGCUAA
rnacentral:rRNA from 1 species